GGCUUAGAGUUUGAUCCUGGCUCAGAACGAACGCUGGCGGCAGGCUUAACACAUGCAAGUCGAGCGCCCCGCAAGGGGAGCGGCAGACGGGUGAGUAACGCGUGGGAACGUGCCUUUUGGUUCGGAACAACUCCGGGAAACUGGAGCUAAUACCGGAUAAGCCCUUCGGGGGAAAGAUUUAUCGCCAAAAGAUCGGCCCGCGUCUGAUUAGCUAGUUGGUGAGGUAAUGGCUCACCAAGGCGACGAUCAGUAGCUGGUCUGAGAGGAUGAUCAGCCACACUGGGACUGAGACACGGCCCAGACUCCUACGGGAGGCAGCAGUGGGGAAUAUUGGACAAUGGGCGCAAGCCUGAUCCAGCCAUGCCGCGUGAGUGAUGAAGGCCUUAGGGUUGUAAAGCUCUUUUGUCCGGGAAGAUAAUGACUGUACCGGAAGAAGAAGCCCCGGC
rnacentral:rRNA from 1 species